rnacentral:rRNA from 1 species
UACGUAGGGCGCGAGCGUUGUCCGGAAUUAUUGGGCGUAAAGAGCUCGUAGGCGGUUUGUCGCGUCUGCUGUGAAAACUGGAGGCUCAACCUCCAGCCUGCAGUGGGUACGGGCAAACUAGAGUGCGGUAGGGGAGAUUGGAAUUCCUGGUGUAGCGGUGGAAUGCGCAGAUAUCAGGAGGAACACCGAUGGCGAAGGCAGAUCUCUGGGCCGUAACUGACGCUGAGGAGCGAAAGCAUGGGGGAGCGAACAGG